rnacentral:lncRNA from 1 species
UUUUUCUUUUCUUAUCUCUUUUUCUUUCUUUUCUCUCACUUCCUCUGUUCUUUCGUGGCUUGCAUGAUACUACUUUUCCUUCCUCUCCUUUCUUCUCUUCUCGCUUUCUUCAUUCUCCUUUUUCUUUUCUUUCCAUUCUCCUCCUUGCCUUCUUUUUUUUUUUUCUUCUUUUUUCCUUUUCCUUUAUCUUUUUUUUUUUUUACUUCUUUCUCUUCUCUUUCAAGAAUACUAUGCACAAAGUUCUUCUAAAUAUUAUUUGAAAUAUAUAUUAGCAUUGAUAUCUAUUUUAAAUAUGUUUUGUAGUAAAAAUAUAUAAUCCUCUAGUGCAAUAAGCCUAAGUGUGCUAGUGGACUUAGCAUGAGAUGAAGUUAGUGUGAUAAGCAUUUAGAAGAGACUUUCAUAUUGUAGUAGACUCUAAGUAUUACUCAAGACUUGAAUGAGUCUAAUCAUAUUUAAAGUAAGUUUAAGGUUUAAACACCAUACAAGAUAAUAAGU